rnacentral:lncRNA from 1 species
GCGUAGGAGAGCGGAGUGAGGAGGAAUCUGCCUCCUGCCCUAUUAGCACUCCUAAUAAAAAGGGAAAAAAGUCUGUUUACCUAAUGGGCUAGUAGUAUAAGCCAUAGACUAACUUUAAAAAUGCACUUGAAGGAUUCGGGCAUCAGCAACAUGCAUCCAGAGCCAACUAGUUAGGAGAAAGGCACCGAUGUAUUGUGGACAUACGGCAUCCUUGUCUCCACCUGUGUCCUCAUCUCCACCCUCUUCCCAGAAUUCAGCAACCCUCACCUUGGAAACAAUACGCAUCAGUUCACCCACUGGACACGACGGGAAGUUGUCAGUCUGCAACCUGGAAGAGGGCCCUCACCAGAACCUAGCCGGAUCUCAGACUUCCAGCCUCCGGGACUGUGGAAACAUCUCUGCUUUGAUCGGCCUCCCAGUCUGUGGUGCUUUGUUAGAGCAGCCUGAGCUGACGCGGACACUAGUCUUCUCAGGGCUGUGGUAAAAUCUCUUUUAUACAAUAAAAGGUAUCUUUAUCUUUUAUACAAUAAAAGAUUUUCAAUGUGUGAUCAUUAAGGAGCCAUGAUCCUACCACCUCAGAAAACCCCAGAGUCACAGAAGGUUCCCAUUACGGGGACAGCAGCAUGGACCGUGUGAAGAACUCCAGCCUUACGAUCCGAGUCACAGGACCGCCAACUUUACUACUUCUGUGAACUCAGUCCUGACUUUAAGCUUCACUGUGCCUCCGUUUCCUCUUUUGAAAGAUGGAAAAACUACUGGCUAGGACAAGGGGCCUGAAG